rnacentral:rRNA from 1 species
UACGGAGGAUUCAAGCGUUAUCCGGAUUUAUUGGGUUUAAAGGGUGCGUAGGCGGUCGGAUAAGUUAGAGGUGAAAUCCCGGGGCUCAACUUCGGAAUUGCCUCUGAUACUGUUCGGCUAGAGAGUAGUUGCGGUAGGCGGAAUGUAUGGUGUAGCGGUGAAAUGCUUAGAGAUCAUACAGAACACCGAUUGCGAAGGCAGCUUACCAAGCUACUUCUGACGUUGAGGCACGAAAGCGUGGGGAGCGAACAGG